rnacentral:rRNA from 1 species
CAGCAGCCGCGGGAAUACGUAGGGUGCGAGCGUUAACCGGAAUUACUGGGCGUAAAGCGUGCGCAGGCGGUUGUGUAAGACAGGUGUGAAAUCCCCGGGCUUAACCUGGGAACUGCGCUUGUGACUGCACAGCUAGAGUAUGGCAGAGGGGGGUGGAAUUCCACGUGUAGCAGUGGAAUGCGUAUAGAUGUGGAGGAACACCGAUGGCGAAGGCAGCCCCCUGGGCCAAUACUGACGCUCAUGCACGAAAGCGUGGGGAGCAAACAGGAUUAGAUACCCCAGUAGUCCCUGUCUCUUAUAC